ensembl:rRNA 5S_rRNA 5S ribosomal RNA
GACAUUUGGUAGAGACUGUUGAAGCCACCUGGUCCCAGCAGACCCCAGAAAACGGUCACAUUCGCUGGUGCCGGAACAAGGUCAUUACGAGUGAAGCCUGGUGCCAGAUGUGU